GUUUCAUGACCACUGGCUUCACUGGGAGAGAAAGCCAUUUUCCAUGGCUGCAAAAGAGACCCUGAAGGAGGAAGCAGCCCCUGUGGGCCAGGCAGCAGAGCCACAUGGGAGCAGCAGUGACAACACUGCCAGCAGCUGCGGGUAGAGGUCUUAUGUCACUGCAGGUACAUUAUCUAAGUCACAUUAUCAGCUAAAAAUCACCCAGGCUUGUCCAGACGAGAGGGCAGAAAAUUAUGCGGUGAAAGAGAAGGAAGAUAAUU